CAAACUUACUUGUAGGGUAGC
rnacentral:piRNA from 1 species